UACGGAGGGGGCUAGCGUUGUUCGGAAUGACUGGGCGUAAAGGGCGCGUAGGCGGAUGGCACAGUCAGAUGUGAAAUUCCCGGGCUUAACCUGGGGGCUGCAUUUGAUACGUGUGAUCUAGAGUGAGGAAGAGGGUCGUGGAAUUCCCAGUGUAGAGGUGAAAUUCGUAGAUAUUGGGAAGAACACCGGUGGCGAAGGCGGCGACCUGGUCCUUGACUGACGCUGAGGCGCGAAAGCGUGGGGAGCAAACAGG
rnacentral:rRNA from 1 species